GGCAAAAGAAUUAUCAAUUUUAUGCAACUUAGUAGUUGCUCUUAUUAUUAUGUGUCCGGGAGAAACCAUUCCGAUUGUGUGUCCAAAAUAAAUUGAUGUUCAGAAUGCGCUCAUAAGGGUGUGGCCUAGCGGUUCAAUGAGGUUGGGAUGAGCACCAUGAGGUCUCAGGUUCAAUUCCCAUCAGAGACGAACACUAGGUGUUUUCUUCUCAUCUGUUCUAGCCUUGGUGGACAGAGUUACCUGGUACCUGUUUCUGGUGGGAGGUGGCAGGUAUCCCGUGGAUUUAGUCGAGGUGCGCGCUAGCUAGUCCGGGCACCACAGUUAUCAAAAAACAUAAAAUUCUUGGGGAGCAAAAUAUAUUAGCGAAUACUUAAUUGUGAAGACAGAAGAGGAGCAUUGAAAUAUAUUUAUAGAUGCAUAGUGGGUCUUGUUAUUAGCAUAUAGCAAAAUGAUUUUAGAUAAAUCUAAAUUAUUUGUUUUGAAUUUGGUAAUAAAUUUAUCAACACAAUUUGAUUUUGGAAGCUUAUUAAUACCAUAUAGUACAAUGAUUUCAAGUAAAUCUAGAUAAUCUGCUCUGAAUUUAGUAAAAGAUCUCUUAAGACAAUUUGAUUUGGAAAGUUAGUUAAUACAACAUAUUAAUAUCGUUUCAAGUAAAUCUAGAUAAUUUGGUAAUAGAUUUAUUCAGACAAUUUGAUUUUGGAAGCUUGUUCAUACCACAUUAAUAUAGUUUGAAGUAAAUUUAUAUAUUUUGGUCAGAAUUUAGUAAAUAGAUCAUUAAGACACUUUUAUUUUGGAAGCUUGUUCAUACCACAUAUUAAUAUUUCAAGUAAAUCUAGAUAAUUUGGUAAUAAAUUUAUUCAGUCAAUUUGAUUGUGGAAGCUUGUUUAUACCACUUACUAAUAUGAUUUCAAGUAGAUCUAAAUUAUUUCAUCCAAAUUUGGUAAUAAAUUUAUCAGUUCAAUUUGAUUUGGAAGAAUUAGGUAUGUUCUUAAAAUGCUUCAACAUUUAAAAUUUGGUAUGUGGCCUAGUGGUUCAAUGAAGUGGAUUGAGCAUCAUGAGGUCUCAGGUUCAAUUCCCAGCGGAGACAUACACUAGGUGGUUUCUUCCCAUCUGUAUCUGUUCUAGCAUUGGUGGACAGAGUUAUCGGGUACCUGUUGCUGGCGGGAGGUAGCAGGGAUCCCGUUGAAUUGAUCAAGAGUAUUCCAACAUUUGACAGUCUUGGUGAUGCAUUCAGGAGUUCUCUAACUGUAAAUACUGUUGACGACAUUUCUGACUCAUCAUUGAAUCUAGAGGACACUCACAAACCCACUACAAAGAAGUCUACUCGGAAGGCUAUACAGAUGGUCUAAAUUCUGGUAAAGAUGAAGGCAACCAGGUACGGUUCAAAACAGGGUUUGAAGUUGGCGAAGAAUUAUGCUUUUACAGAGGUUGUAUUGAUAUCUGGAAGACUGCAAUCCUAGUACAGCCAAAUAUAUCGUAGAAAGUAUUAUCUGGAACACUGCAAUCCUAGUCCGCUUUUAAUGUUUUGUCCUUACGAACAGAUGGAUAUUCUGAUUCAAAAGCUGUCUACUGAGGUAUUCAGGAGAAAGUAUAGAAAAAUAUUGAAGAUAAGCCUAUGAAUGCAUACAAAAGAUACGGAAAAUAUUUUGAAAUAGCUUGAUUCUCUAAAGAGA